GAAUGAAUGGCCGCGGUACUCUGACCGUGCUAAGGUAGCGCAAUCAAUUGGCUUUUAAUUGGAGCCAGGUAUGAAUGGAGUCACGGGGCUAAGCUGUCUCCUAACUAGUUUCUCGAAAUUACUAUGUAGGUGAAAAAGCCUAUUAAAAGAAAAAGGACGAGAAGACCCUUAGAGUUUUUCUAAAACUGAGAACAAACAUUAAUUUCUCAAAAAAGUUUGGUUGGGGCAACGUAGGAACAGGAUUAAAAAAUAAUUUCCUGAAAUUAAUCAACCGAUUGUAUUAUAAUUGAAUAAACUACCUUAGGGAUAACAGCAUAAUGUUAUAAAAAAGUUUGUGACCUCGAUGUUGGACUAGGAGACUAAAGGGCUAGCCGCCUUUUUGGGAAGUUCUGUUCGAACUGAUAAUUCCU
rnacentral:rRNA from 1 species